GUACACUAUUGUGUGUAAAGUGUUUGGUCCAUAUAUGGGAAUCAUGCUGGGCAAUUAUUCAUUUAGAAACAUUACUAAAACUAUCAGGAGUGAGGAAAUGGGACCACGACCUGACUGGCUGUUAUAUUGUGUUCCUGGUAUUGCUUUCAUCCUGGGCAUCUUUCUGUUUGCUCUGUUACUCAAAAAACAGCCGACUAAACUGGGGAUGCAUGUAGUUAACUCACUCAGUCAGACAUAUGAAGACAAGGGCAGCUGCUGCACUGUCAGACAAGAGAAUAGGAAGAAAACUGGCACCUGCAAUCCUGUAAAAGUAUUUGGGACCCAGUCAGAUGAAAACGUGAGAGAAGUGAUUUACGCCAACCAGCAGGAUCUGUCUUACUGUGAUGACUGUGUCCCAGAUGAAGUCAGUGUGGCGGAUGAGCUAAAUCUGAAACACACAGACUUUCUCCAUCCACCAAUAAAUCUCACAGACACAGAUGGAGAAUCGUAUGAAAAUAUGGAGGGCUCUUUGUAUGCCCUGCCUCGCAAACAAGACACACAAGAGGAUGAUGACUAUGUAGUCCCACAGGAUGAAGUUAAUCCAAAGGAGGAGUCAAAGCAGAAUAACACAAAUUUGCUCCAUGCACAAAUAAAACUUACAGACACAGAUGGUGAAUCGUAUGAGAACAUGGAGGGCUGUAUAGCUGACACACACAUCAGGAGUGAGGAAGACGAUUUUGUGGAACCUGGUGAGGAAUGUGUGAAUGUCUCUGCAUAUCACAGAACCAGAGGGACAGCGGUGAGUGUGUCCACCAGCACAUAUUCACACACAGGUUUCAGUGUUUUACACAGAGGACAAGACAAAAACACUAAUAAUAAACACAAGUAAUAAACACUAAUAUUUGAUUAUAUGUAAUACACGUUUGUCACAUUAUAAAUGUUUUUGUGUGUAUAAAGGUAGUGGGAAAUUAUAUAUCGUUCCUAAGCUGUCCUAUAUAUAGUAAAUGAAAGGAAUGGUAAUCAUCUGUAAUCACUGUUGAUAGCCUCUGAGGUGACUAUCAACACAACCUCAACAACACAUCAUCAGCUGGAGGGGUGAGAACUGACUUUAUAGCAGGACCAAAACAAAAUGCACUUCCAGGUCUCACAAGCUGUCAGAGCGAAAUGGUAAAAAGCACAUAACAUGUUUAUAUCUCUGAAAUUCACCUUUGCAUCUUUUAUAUUUCAGACUGAUAUGUACGAGUCCUGACUGAGAAGGUGG
rnacentral:lncRNA from 1 species